rnacentral:tRNA from 1 species
GGGGCUGUGGCUCAGUGGUAGAGCCUCCAUUUGGCAUACAGAAGGUCACGGGUUCGAUCCCAGGCGCCUCA